rnacentral:rRNA from 1 species
CCUACGGGAGGCAGCAGUGGGGAAUAUUGCACAAUGGGGGAAACCCUGAUGCAGCGACGCCGCGUGAAGGAAGAAGUAUUUCGGUAUGUAAACUUCUAUCAGCAGGGAAGAAAAUGACGGUACCUGACUAAGAAGCCCCGGCUAACUCCGUGCCAGCAGCCGCGGUAAUACGUAGGGGGCAAGCGUUAUCCGGAUUUACUGGGUGUAAAGGGAGCGUAGGCGGGGCAGCAAGUCAGAAGUGAAAGCCCGGGGCUCAACUCCGGGACUGCUUUUGAAACUGUUGAACUAGAGUGCAGGAGAGGUAAGUGGAAUUCCUAGUGUAGCGGUGAAAUGCGUAGAUAUUAGGAGGAACACCAGUGGCGAAGGCGGCUUACUGGACUGUAAAUGACGCUGAGGCUCGAAAGCGUGGGGAGCAAACAGGAUUAGAUACCCUUGUAGUC